rnacentral:tRNA from 1 species
AAGAUCUUAAGUUAAACCAAACUAAUAUCCUUCAAAGCUAUAAAUAAAGAAAAUCUUUAGGUCUUA